rnacentral:lncRNA from 1 species
UUCUGAUAUUAGCCCAUUCCUAACAUAUUUAUACACUUCCUGUCAGUGUGGUCUAAAUUUCAGAUUUGUACUUUCAGUUCAAGAUGGCCAACCACAAAUUUAAUCUACCUCUCCAUCCACGCAGAGGCAAACAAAUACACGAAAACAUAAAAGGACUGGGGACAUGAAAGCCAGCCCUCAUAAAAUCUGAGGACCUCCUAAACUAUGGAAAGAUGAUUUUUUCAGAUUUCAGUUGAAGAAACGGAUGAAGCUACAUCCUAAGAAAUUGGUGUUAAUUGUAGCAACUCCUAGAUCAGCUCUAAAAAGUUUUAAGGUCAGUCAACUCCCCCUUCCCCUCUCCAAGGAGAUUCACCAUCAGCCAUGAUUUGUGUUCUCAGGCUAAUUGCAAACAGCAAUUCACUAAGAAAAGUAAGCACCUGUCUUGCUAGAUCAUGAGUGGGAAGCAGAGCAAAAUGGGAAGCAAUUCUCAAAGAGGGAAAAGAAAAACUGAAGAGGCGGUCCUUCCAAGUAGGAAAAUGUUUUAAACUGCUUCAUUUUCAGAGUAAAGCUCUCUUUCAUUUGGCAAAUAUUGAUCUCCAGCCUACCUGCCUAUAAGAAAUGCUGCUGGUUGAUAACACCUGACUUCCUUUCACAGAAUCCUCCUUGAGGCUUCUUGUUCACGGGUCCUCAGAGAUACAGAUGGGAUCAUGCAGACUGCUUCUUCCAACAGAGUACUUCAUUCAUACAUGUGAAGGAAGCAGGAGGAAGGAGGUAACCAAGAUAAAGAAACCGAACAAGUGACUUUAGAGGAAAUUGAGCUAAUUCUAAAAACAGAAGAGAUCUUAAAAGCAAAUUUUAUCAUCAGUAGAGAUUUGAUAGAGCUAUAGUGCUUUCAAAACCAAGAAUGGCCUGCAAAAGAAAAUGAGCAAGCUGAGAACAACAAAAACAAGUUGAGGAAUAUUCACCUUCAGCUUACAUCUUUGCCAAUCUUCCUCUAUUUUGUAAGUGGGUCGCCACCACAGCAUGGCUGCUGACAAGUGCUGUAGGUCUGUGCUUGGGAACUGAACCCUGGCCACCAAAGUGGAACGCACUGAACUUGACCAGUAGGCCACGGGGCUAGCCCCUAGGAAGACGAUUCUUUUUUAAAUUAUUAUUUCUUUUAGAUUCCAAGAAGAGUUAAUGAGUUGAAUCAGCAAUUCUUCUUCCAUCCCCACCAUGCACACACAUGAUUCCAUUAAAUAUUAAAAAGCAAAACCAAAAAUGAAACAACCUAAAACUAAGACUAAAUUUUGAAAAGAUAGAAUCUAUGGAUAAGUUUAACUCAACUCUCCUAAUAUCUAUGUGUAUAUUUAUUCAAAAUGCUUUUUAAUUAAAAAUACCCUUUGUAAAUUCAUUAUCUGUGCAGGUCUUCAUAACGUUUUUUAUCAUCCACAAAA